UACGAAGGGGGCUAGCGUUGAUCGGAAUCACUGGGCGUAAAGGGUGCGUAGGCGGGUCUUUAAGUCAGGGGUGAAAUCCUGGAGCUCAACUCCAGAACUGCCUUUGAUACUGAAGAUCUUGAGUUCGGGAGAGGUGAGUGGAACUGCGAGUGUAGAGGUGAAAUUCGUAGAUAUUCGCAAGAACACCAGUGGCGAAGGCGGCUCACUGGCCCGGUACUGACGCUGAGGUGCGAAAGCGUGGGGAGCAAACAGG
rnacentral:rRNA from 1 species